rnacentral:rRNA from 1 species
GAUGAACGCUGGCGGCGUGCCUAAUACAUGCAAGUCGAGCGAACGGACGAGAAGCUUGCUUCUCUGAUGUUAGCGGCGGACGGGUGAGUAACACGUGGAUAACCUACCUAUAAGACUGGGAUAACUUCGGGAAACCGUAGCUAAUACCGGAUAAUAUUUUGAACCGCAUGGUUCAAAAGUGAAAGACGGUCUUGCUGUCACUUAUAGAUGGAUCCGCGCUGCAUUAGCUAGUUGGUAAGAUAACGGCUUACCAAGGCAACGAUGCAUAGCCGACCUGAGAGGGUGAUCGGCCACACUGGAACUGAGACACGGUCCAGACUCCUACGGGAGGCAGCAGUAGGGAAUCUUCCGCAAUGGGCGAAAGCAUGACGGAGCAACGCCGCGUGAGUGAUGAAGGUCUUCGGAUCGUAAAACUCUGUUAUUAGGGAAGAACAUAUGUGUAAGUAACUGUGCACAUCUUGACGGUACCUAAUCAGAAAGCCACGGCUAACUACGUG